GCCGAGGUGGUGAAAUUGGUAGACACGCAAGUUUCAGGUAUUUGUGGGGCAACCCUUGGAGGUUCGAGUCCUCUUCUCGGCACCA
rnacentral:tRNA from 1 species